rnacentral:lncRNA from 1 species
UGUGGUUGCUGCGAUGCGCAUUGGGGUUGUUGCUGCCUGAAUUUUUAUUGGGGCGUGAAUUUUUAUACUUUAUCUUAAGAUUUUUCAUUACAUUUAUAACUAAAUUGCCUGAUGCGAUUCCUAAUGCAGUCGGAUGCAUGAUUUUAAAUUACACUACAAUUGGAGUCCGAUGUGGUUGCGGAGGCUACCGCAUCAGCAAUAUUGUGGCGGAAAUUGCGGUCGCAGACCACAAUUUAGAACCAUGGUUGUGGUUGUGGAUGUGGAGGAGAUUGGUGUUUAAGUUGGAGGAUGGAUGACUUGCUGAUAGAUCUUUGAAACUUAUUCAAUGGGGUAGGCUUUUGAAGCAAUGAAGAGUAUUCUCUUAGAGUUAGAAGCUUUUACAAGAUAGAUUUCCAUCUAUAUCUCACCUUUUUAAAAGAGGUAUUUUUUAUAAUCCUCAUAAUAUAUCAUGCAUUUGUGCUUACCCCAUACAGAGGAGUGAACUCAUUUGUGUUUUAAGUUUUAAAUGCAAAAUUCCUUCUAAUAUUUGGAUGUCAAUAUGGUCAUGGUGAUUGUUGAAACACAAUUAAGAGAAAAGAUUAAAUAUACAAAAAAGUCAUAAUAUAAUGAAUCACAUAGUUUCUUUUGAGAAAGAAAAAUCACAUGUAACUACUUCAUACAUAUUAUUUUAAGAAUCUCAUUACACUAUUUAUCAUAACAAAGAGAGACAUAUAUGUACAUGUAUAUUAGAAAGUCUAAGUUCUCGCAAGAAAAGUCUUGAACCAUUGUGCUGCGAGCUUUUCUUUUUGAUAAAAAGAAGAGAUAAUUGCUUCUUAUUAUAUGUUAGUAGGGAGUUUCUUGAAUAUAUGCUUGGUAGAUUGAGUUUUUGUGAUACAUGAAGGAACUGUAAUAGGGCAUGUACUUUUAACUGUCAUUUGUUCAUACUAGUUGAUGGUAGCCCCUCAGAUGAUAUUUAAAUUAAGCGGUAUUUUAGACAGAAAGAUUCACUUGCCCUCUUUUCAAUCUUAGUCGUCAUAGAACACUUAUCUGGUUUUGUUACCAAAGUUCAACUUGAGUAUAAGGUCUCGGAGGUAUAUUUUUCCCAUUCUUCAAUUCUCUGACAGUACUAUUUUUUUUGUACAAGGACUCUUGGAAGAAUCUGUGGUGUAUUAAAGCAUUUUAGGGAGUUUAAUUUGUUUUCAUGGAACGAGAAACACUUAUCUUUGGCAGGUAAAUUAACCUUAACAAUUUUUUUGUAGGAUCAAUGGAUUGUGAGAACCGAGAACAAGCACUAAAGUGAUUUAUCCCGAACUAUUUCAAGUGGCUAAAAACAAAGAGGCAAGCAACUGUGACUAAGACUGUAUGCUAGAGAAUGAUGGCGUCUGGAGUUUUUAUGGCUGUGGAGGAGAAUGAUGUUUAGGUGGGGUGAGGACUUGCUAUUAGAUCUUUGAAACUUAUUUGCUGUGGUAGACUUUUCAAACAAUGAAGAAUAUUCUCUUGGAGGCUUUUUCAACAUAGAUUACCAACUAGAAC